rnacentral:rRNA from 1 species
GACGAACGCUGGCGGCGUGCUUAACACAUGCAAGUCGAACGGAAAGGCCCUGCUUUUGUGGGGUGCUCGAGUGGCGAACGGGUGAGUAACACGUGAGUAACCUGCCCUUGACUUUGGGAUAACUUCAGGAAACUGGGGCUAAUACCGGAUAGGAGCUCCUGCUGCAUGGUGGGGGUUGGAAAGUUUCGGCGGUUGGGGAUGGACUCGCGGCUUAUCAGCUUGUUGGUGGGGGAGUGGCUUACCAAGGCUUUGACGGGUAGCCGGCCUGGGAGGGUGACCGGCCACAUUGGGACUGAGAUACGGCCCAGACUCCUACGGGAGGCAGCAGUGGGGAAUAUUGCACAGUGGGCGGAAGCCUGAUGCAGCAACGCCGCGUGCGGGAUGACGGCCUUCGGGUUGUAAACCGCUUUCGCCUGUGACGAAGCGUGAGUGACGGUAAUGGGUAAAGAAGCACCGGCUAACUACGUG